UAACUGCGUGCAGACGUGUGAACUGCAGGACACAUGAACACCGACGUUUCGAACGCAAAUGGCGGUCUAAAGUAAAUUUUAGACCACGUCUGGCUGAGGGUCGGAUUUGAAAUAAAAGCAAAAGUUACUCCAACUAAUGGCAUGGAAUAUGUAUAUCCUUAUGGAUGUGAUGUUGCCUGUUGGGUUUCAAAAGUUUCAUCGCUGGGGUUUACAGCCCAGUUAGAAUUGUUGGUAUCCUUAUGGAAGCUCUGUUUAACUACAGUGCUAGCUAAUUUGAAAAAAAUUAUUACCUUAGCGGGUUAAAUGCCGCUAAAUCGUAUAAUAAUUGGCGAAAACAUUUGAUACCACUGAUAUAAUAACAAAUCAAACAUACGACCUCAGAGUAGGCGAGAUUACCCGC
rnacentral:misc_RNA from 1 species